rnacentral:lncRNA from 1 species
GGGGUGUCCAUCCCGAAGCAACUGAGCUUCUUUCUAUGUCUUAGUGCUUUACCGAUUUUGCAUAUUGUAUAUUGUUAUGCAUUAUAGGGUGAUGAUACAUGCAUUUCUACUCCUUGUAUGAUGUCUAUGAUUAAUAUAGUAUUAUGAUAUGGAUACUUGAUGUAAUGGACAUAAGGAUUGGGAAAUGACAUUGGUAAACCUAUGAUGCUAAAUGAAAGAGGAACCUAGUGUUGUGUCUAAAGACAUAGUUUACUAGUGGCAUUGGAUUUAGUGUGAUAGAAACACUUAUAACUUGGACGAGUGGCAUUGGAACCUAGUUAUGAUAUAUGCAUGAGAAUCUAGUGUAGUUGACACUUAUGACAUUGAACAUAGGGAAUAGGUGCAUUUUCUUAGUUUGUGGCAUAUUGCAUGAGAUGGCAUAUGCAUGAGAAUCUAGUGUAGUUGGCACUUAUAGCAUUGAACAUAGGGAAUAGGUGCAUUUCUCUAGUUUGUGGCAUAUUGCAUGAAAUGGCAUAUUG